rnacentral:rRNA from 1 species
AUUCCAGCUCCAAUAGCGUAUAUUUAAGUUGUUGCAGUUAAAAAGCUCGUAGUCGGACUUUGGCUGAGAACGGUCGGUCCGCCGUUAGGUGUGCACUGACUGGCCUCAGCUUCCUGGUGAGGAGGUGUGCUUCACGGCCACUUAGUCACCGUGGUUACUUUGAAAAAAUUAGAGUGUUCAAAGCGGGCUUACGCUUGAAUAUAUUAGCAUGGAAUAACACCAUAGGACUCCUGUCCUAUUUCGUUGGUCUCGGGACGGGAGUAAUGAUUAAGAGGAACAGUUGGGGGCAUUCGUAUUUCAUUGUCAGAGGUGAAAUUCUUGGAUUUAUGAAAGACGAACUUCUGCGAAAGCAUUUGCCAAGGAUGUUUUCAUUG